rnacentral:rRNA from 1 species
CACGUAGGGCGCAAGCGUUGUCCGGAAUUAUUGGGCGUAAAGAGCUCGUAGGCGGUCUGUUGCGUCCGCUGUGAAAACUCGGGGCUUAACCCCGAGCCUGCAGUGGAUACGGGCAGACUAGAGGUAGGUAGGGGAGAAUGGAAUUCCCGGUGUAGCGGUGAAAUGCGCAGAUAUCGGGAGGAACACCGGUGGCGAAGGCGGUUCUCUGGGCCUUACCUGACGCUGAGGAGCGAAAGCGUGGUGAGCGAACAGG